AUCGAACGCUGGCGGCAGGCUUAACACAUGCAAGUCGAGCGAGCGGCGGACGGGAGAGUAAUGUCUGGGAAACAGCCUGAUGGAGGGGGAUAACUACUGGAAACGGUAGCAAAUACCGCAUACCAUCAGAUGUGCCCCGAUGGGAUGAGCUAGUAGGUGGGGUAAUGGCUCACCUAGGAGACGAUCCCUAGCUGGUCUGAGAGGAUGACCAGCCACACUGGAACUGAGACACGUUCCAGCCUCCUACGGGAGGCAGCAGGGGGGAAUCUUGCACAAUGGGCGCAAGCCUGAUGCAGCCAUGCCGCGUGUGUGAAGAAGGCCUUCGGGUUGUAAAGCACUUUCAGCGAGGAGGCGUUACUCGCAGAAGAAGCACCGGCUAACUCCGUGCCAGCAGCCGCGGUAAUAC
rnacentral:rRNA from 1 species